CAGUCGCCGCGGUAAUACGUAGGGUGCAAGCGUUAAUCGGAAUUACUGGGCGUAAAGCGUGCGCAGGCGGUUAUAUAAGACAGAUGUGAAAUCCCCGGGCUCAACCUGGGAACUGCAUUUGUGACUGUAUAGCUAGAGUACGGCAGAGGGGGAUGGAAUUCCGCGUGUAGCAGUGAAAUGCGUAGAUAUGCGGAGGAACACCGAUUGCGAAGGCAAUCCCCUGGGCCUGUACUGACGCUCAUGCACGAAAGCGUGGGGAGCAAACAGGAUUAGAUACCCCCGUAGUCCCUGUCUCUUAUAC
rnacentral:rRNA from 1 species